AACGCAUCUUGCGCCCCGUGGCAUUCCGCGGGGCAUGUCUGUUUGAGUGUCGUUUGACCUCUCAACCGCUUUGGUAUUCGAUUACAAAAGUCGGCUUGGAACUUGGGUGCCUCUGGCGAAACGCAAAGGUCUUUGCGGACCUGUCGCCCACCCCAAAGUCAGUUGGGCCAACCGCGCGGAUGAGCGGACGGUUUGACCACAGUGUUGUAAGGUUCGCCUCACUGUCGGGACGUCCAUUUCCGUCGCAUAUAGGCAUUUGAAAUACGAUACUAUUGAUUUUGACCUCAAAUCAGACAGGAUUACCCGCUGAACUUAA
rnacentral:misc_RNA from 1 species